UAGGGAAUCUUCGGCAAUGGACGAAAGUCUGACCGAGCAACGCCGCGCGAGUGACGAAGGUUUUCGGAUCGUAAAACUCUCUUGCUAGAGACGAACAAGCACGCUACUAACCGAACGUCCCCUGACGGUAUCUAACCAGAAAGCCACGGCUAACUACGUGCCAGCAGCCGCGGUAAUACGUAGGUGGCAAGCGUUGUCCGGAUUUAUUGGGCGUAAAGCGAGCGCAGGCGGUUUCUUAAGUCUGAUGUGAAAGCCCCCGGCUCAACCGGGGAGGGUCAUUGGAAACUGGGAGACUUGAGUGCAGAAGAGGAGAGUGGAAUUCCAUGUGUAGCGGUGAAAUGCGUAGAUAUAUGGAGGAACACCAGUGGCGAAGGCGGCUCUCUGGUCUGUAACUGACGCUGAGGCUCGAAAGCGUGGGGAGCAAACAGG
rnacentral:rRNA from 1 species